rnacentral:siRNA from 1 species
GACUUACGGCGUAGUCGCAGAUUA